UACGUAGGGUGCAAGCGUUGUCCGGAAUUAUUGGGCGUAAAGCGCUCGUAGGCGGUUCGUCGCGUCGGCUGUGAAAACCUGAGGCUCAACCUCAGGCCUGCAGUCGAUACGGGCGGACUUGAGUACUGCAGGGGAGACUGGAAUUCCUGGUGUAGCGGUGAAAUGCGCAGAUAUCAGGAGGAACACCGGUGGCGAAGGCGGCGAUCUGGGUCGAUACUGACGCUGAGGUGCGAAAGCGUGGGGAGCAAACAGG
rnacentral:rRNA from 1 species